CUCAAACUCCAGACCUCAGGUGAUCCACCCACCUUGGCUUCUCAAAGUGCUAGUAUUUUGACUUAUAACCCAAGAUAUGGUCUAUUUUGGUUAAUUUUUUUAAAAAAGCACUUUAUUGAGGUAUGAUUGACAUACAAAAAAGCUGUACAUAUCUAAAGUAUACAACUUGAGGAGUUUGGAGAUAAGUAUCCACCCAUGAACCCAUCACAAUGCCAUAAACAUAUCAUGCCCAAAAUUUCCUCUCAGCCUCUAUUGUUUUGUGAUUUAAAAACUUACAUGUAAGAUUUAUCUGUAACAUAUACUUAAAAAAUAUUUUUAUUAAGUAUUAAUAAAAAUAUAUUUUAAGUAUAUAUUACAGUAUUGUUAAUUAAAAGCACUGUUGUAUUUAUUAUUAAUAAAAAUAUAUUUUAAGUAUAUAUUACAGUAUUGUUAAUUAUAAGCACUAUGUUGUAUGGUAGCAUCAAUCACAGUGCCUGAUACAUGGUAAGCUCUCAGUAAGUUUUGUAUUUUUUUGAGACGGAGUUUCGCUCUUGUUGCCCAGGCUGGAGUGCAACCUCUGCUUCCUGGGUUCAAGCAGUUCUCCUGCCUUAGCCUCCCAAGUAGCUGGGAUUACAGGCAUGUGCCACCAUGCCCGUCUAAUUUUGUAUUUCUAGUAGAGGCGGGGCUUCUCCACGUUGGUUAGGCUGGUCUCGAACCCACGACCUCAGGUGAUCCACCUGCCUCAGACUCCCAAAGUGCUGGGAUUACAGGCGUGAACCACCGUGUCCGGCCAAUAAGUUUUAUUGUAAUGAAUGAACCCAAUGCAACAUUAGGCAAAAGUAAAGCCAUAUUUUAAAAAAUUGUCUAUUAGAAUGUUUUUGAUCUUUUAUCAAAAUAUCGCAAUGCUUUUCUUAGGAGCUCUUUAAACAGUUAAAUUUGAGUUUUUUUAACCCCUCUCCCAAGUUCUUAAUGCAGAAUUUUUGUCCUUUUAAAUGCAUACGUUAAAUCUGACCAUAUAUUUUUUUUUCCUUUUGAGACGGAGUCUUGCUUUGUUCCCCAGGCUGGAGUGCAGUGGUGCAAUUUCUGCUCACUGCAAACACCGCUUCCAGGGUUCACGCCAUUCUCCUGCCUCAGCCUCCCGAGUAGCUGGGACUACAGGUGCCUGCCACUGCGCCCGGCCAAUUUUUUGUAUUUUUAGUAGAGACGGGGUUUCACCGUGUUAGCCAGGAUGGUCUCGAUCUCCUGACCUCAUGAUCCACCCGCCUCAGCCUCCCAAAGUGCUGGGACUACAGGCGUGAGCCACCACUUAAGCUUAUAAAUUUGCAAAGCUCUGGAGUUGGGCUACAUGUUCAGUUAUUUCCCCCCAGUUUUUGUUUUGAUCAAUUACUUUAGUCCUAGAUUAUUUCCAAUAGCUAAGUUAUCUCAUAUCUGCUACGGGACACAUCUUUCCUGUGGUGCUACCAUGCCUCAGUGGAGAUAUUUAAUUCUCUAAGCACACUUAUCAUUUUUGUUCACUCUUAGAUGUCUAAAUAACCAUAUGACACAAUAAUUACUCAUUUUGUUUGUAGUAAUAGAACCAAAACUCAAAACUAAUUUAAAUAAGUCGUCUUCAAAAUUCUGUAAAAAUAUGCCUCUCAUGCCAACAUAGUAUCUCAUGGGAAUUGAAAAAAAUGUUAUGUUUAUUUUCUACUAGACUGUUAAGCAUCUCCAGGGAAGGGCCAUACUCAUCUUUUUAACUGUCAGCACUUAUCUCUUAUGAGUACAUUCCAUGACCAAAUUUCACAUAAGGCAGUGUACUAUGCCCUGCAAGUUACAAGGAGCACCUUUUGUUGUUGUUGUUUUUUUUUUAAAUGUCAAUGAUUGGUGAUAAUCCACAUUCUAAACUUGUCCCAGGGUACAUUAUAUAGGCUAAACUUCCAUUUGCUGUGAAGGGACUCUAGACAAUUCUAUGUAGGGAAGAAAGGUUUGGCAAGAAAAGACCAAGCUAGUAGGUACUGAGCAGUUGUGGAAGUUACACUUGAAGGAGUUAGCACUGUUGUAACUAUAACAAAGCAAGUAAGACAAUCAGGAAACUUGCAGAUAAUUGUAACCAAGGUCAUACAGAUUUGCUUAUAUGUAAAACAAACUGAAUCAAGUCCCCCUAGUACAUCAUCUGGGGAAGAACUGUUAAUCAGAAACUAAAAUGAUGAAGGAAAGAAUUUACUCUUUGGAUCCUGAUGCAAAAGGUCAAGUUGUGAAGUAGGUCACUCAUUUGUCUGAUGAUAUGAUCUCUAGCUGUCACCAGAGCGGAGCUAGUCUGUUUUUAAACUGUAGCAUGAAAAAGGCCAUUUAGAAUGAGAUAAGCUACAUUGAGUCCAGGGACACAAGCUACGUAUGAUGGAAUCAGAACCUCUACAAUGUUAGGUUGGGCACAGUGGCUCACGCCUGUAAUCCCAGCACUUUGGGAGGCCGAGGUGGGAGGAUCACCUGAGGCCAGAAGUUCGAGAAGAGGCCGGUCAACAUGGUGAAACCCCGUCUCCACUAAAAGUACAAAAAAUAGCUGGGCAUGGUGGUGCCUGUCUGUAAUCCCAGCUACUCAGGAGGCCGAGACAGAAUUGCUUGAAUCUAGGUGGCGGAGAUUGCAGUGAGCCGAGAUUGCGCCACUGUGCUCCAUCCUGGGUGAUAGAAUGAAAGACUCCGUCUCAAAAAGAAAAAGAAAAAAAAAAAAAGAACCUCUACAAUGUUAGAUUGUUUCUGCUGUAUAAAUUCUGAACUUGUAUCUGUUUUGCACUCCCUUUCCCACUUGUAAGUCUCAGUUCUCCUAUGGGAAUUAAGGCUUUUUGUUUGUACUGGAGCCAAUGUUAGAGAAAACAAGUCAAUGUAGGGAAUUCAAAAUUAAGGUAAAAUCAAGAUCCUUGAAGGAGCUGAUUCAUUUUAGUAAAUAGGAUGACCUGCACUUAGACAUGAAUUCUGCUUAAACUAGAAUUUUACUUACCUUUAUUUAAAGAAGUCACAGAUAUUUUUUGCCUUGCUCACUGCUGUAUCCCUAGAGUUCAGAAUAGUAGGCACCCAGUAAAUCUGCAGAAACAAUGUACAACUUUUAUAUCCACUAAAGGAAGAUCGUUUCUUACUUAGGAAAGUGAUAAGAAUGAAGGAUGUUAUAAAAUUGUUUUAAAGGUGCUAUAACAAAGCCUUCAUCUUACUAAGAGAACUGGGA
rnacentral:lncRNA from 1 species